UAGAGUUUGAUCAUGGCUCAGGAUGAACGCUAGCGGCAGGCCUAACACAUGCAAGUCGAGGGGUAACAGAGAAGCUUGCUUCUGCUGACGACCGGCGCACGGGUGCGUAACGCGUAUGCAACCUACCUCAUACUGGAGAAUAGCCCUUGGAAACGAGGAUUAAUACUCCAUAGUAUCAUUCUUUCGCAUGUUAGAAUGAUUAAAGAAUUUCGGUAUGAGAUGGGCGUGCGUCCCAUUAGCUAGUUGGUGAGGUAACGGCUCACCAAGGCGACGAUGGGUAGGGGGCCUGAGAGGGUGGUCCCCCACACUGGUACUGAGACACGGACCAGACUCCUACGGGAGGCAGCAGUGAGGAAUAUUGGUCAAUGGAGGCAACUCUGAACCAGCCAUGCCGCGUGAAGGAUGACGGCCCUAUGGGUUGUAAACUUCUUUUAUAUGGGAAGAAACUUAUCUACGUGUAGAUAACUGACGGUACCAUACGAAUAAGGAUCGGCUAACUCCGUGCCAGCAGCCGCGGUAAUACGGAGGAUCCAAGCGUUAUCCGGAUUCAUUGGGUUUAAAGGGUCCGUAGGCGGAUUUUUAAGUCAGUGGUGAAAGCCGGCAGCUCAACUGUCGAACUGCCAUUGAUACUGGAAAUCUUGA
rnacentral:rRNA from 1 species